UACGUAGGCAGCAAGCGUUAUUCGGAUUCACUGGGCGUAAAGGGUGCGCAGGCGGCCAAGUGUGUCAGGUGUGAAAUCCCGAGGCUUAACCUCGGAACUGCGCCUGAAACUACUUGGCUAGAGUACUGGAGAGGGUAACGGAAUUCACGGUGUAGCAGUGAAAUGCGCAGAUAUCGGGAAGAACACCCGUGGCGAAGGCGGCACUCUGGGACGGUACUGACGCUGAGACGCGAAAGCGUGGGGAGCGAACAGG
rnacentral:rRNA from 1 species